rnacentral:lncRNA from 1 species
UGGUUCUUCCAGAGUGCCAACUCAUGUGUUGCUUUCAAUUUUUUAACUCUUAAAUCAACUCUUUUAAUCAUUUAUAAUUCUUGAAUUAAUAUUAUUCCCAUAGAAUUAAGGACCAUUAAAUUCCAGGAGGACCAGUCAACCCUGGGUUAUUACUAUCAUUCCAACCCUAUGAUUCUUAAUCCAAAGACUGAAAAGGCGGAAGUACCAACUCCUAUCUACCUCUAAAAGCAUAGUAACUCUUCACCUAUUUCAAUUUAACUCUACUUUUUUUUAAUAAAAAAAAUACAGUAACAAAAUAUGACCGUUGAUUAAGGUGUGAGAAAAAUUUACAAAAAUUUGAUAGUCGAUGCACGUAUUUUCCAAUGCACCGAGUGUAAAUAAAUUCACGUGGUGUAUAAAUUGUGUCCCCAGCUAGCUAACUCCGAUAUAUAUAUAUAUAUAUAGUAGGGCUAGAAUACUUGUAAAAGUAUCAUGGGGGUGAUACUUGUGUGUUUUUAGUUCUUGGAUGGAGAGAUGUGAGGUUGAGAUGAUGGUGGUAGGUGGUGGUAGGUGGUGGUAGGUGAAAUAGUGUUUAAUCCAAGGACUAUUAAUAAUCAAAAAGUAGAUCCAAUGGCUUAAAACCUAAUAGCACCAUAAUGGUGAUACUUGUAAAAGUAUCAUAGCUCAACUCUAUAUAUAUAUAUA